rnacentral:rRNA from 1 species
AUAAUCAUGGAGUAUAAUAAUUAAAUUUAAUAAAUUUAAUAUAACUAUUAAUAGAAUUAGGUUACUAAUAAAUUAAUAACAAUUAAUUUUAAAACCUAAAGGUAAACCUUUAUAUUAAUAAUGUUAUUUUUUAUUAUAUUUAUAAUAAGAAUAAUUAUUAAUAAUAAUAAACUAAGUGAACUGAAACAUCUAAGUAACUUAAGGAUAAGAAAUCAACAGAGAUAUUAUGAGUAUUGGUGAGAGAAAAUAAUAAAGGUCUAAUAAGUAUUAUGUGAAAAAAAUGUAAGAAAAUAGGAUAACAAAUUCUAAGACUAAAUACUAUUAAUAAGUAUAGUAAGUACCGUAAGGGAAAGUAUGAAAAUGAUUAUUUUAUAAGCAAUCAUGAAUAUAUUAUAUUAUAUUAAUGAUGUACCUUUUGUAUAAUGGGUCAGCAAGUAAUUAAUAUUAGUAAAACAAUAAGUUAUAAAUAAAUAGAAUAAUAUAUAUAUAUAUAAAAAUAUAUUAAAAUAUUUAAUUAAUAUUAAUUGACCCGAAAGCAAACGAUCUAACUAUGAUAAGAUGGAUAAACGAUCGAACAGGUUGAUGUUGCAAUAUCAUCUGAUUAAUUGUGGUUAGUAGUGAAAGACAAAUCUGGUUUGCAGAUAGCUGGUUUUCUAUGAAAUAUAUGUAAGUAUAGCCUUUAUAAAUAAUAAUUAUUAUAUAAUAUUAUAUUAAUAUUAUAUAAAGAAUGGUACAGCAAUUAAUAUAUAUUAGGGAACUAUUAAAGUUUUAUUAAUAAUAUUAAAUCUCGAAAUAUUUAAUUAUAUAUAAUAAAGAGUCAGAUUAUGUGCGAUAAGGUAAAUAAUCUAAAGGGAAACAGCCCAGAUUAAGAUAUAAAGUUCCUAAUAAAUAAUAAGUGAAAUAAAUAUUAAAAUAUUAUAAUAUAAUCAGUUAAUGGGUUUGACAAUAACCAUUUUUUAAUGAACAUGUAACAAUGCACUGAUUUAUAAUAAAUAAAAAAAAAUAAUAUUUAAAAUCAAAUAUAUAUAUAUUUGUUAAUAGAUAAUAUACGGAUCUUAAUAAUAAGAAUUAUUUAAUUCCUAAUAUGGAAUAUUAUAUUUUUAUAAUAAAAAUAUAAAUACUGAAUAUCUAAAUAUUAUUAUUACUUUUUUUUUAAUAAUAAUAAUAUGGUAAUAGAACAUUUAAUGAUAAUAUAUAUUAGUUAUUAAUUAAUAUAUGUAUUAAUUAAAUAGAGAAUGCUGACAUGAGUAACGAAAAAAAGGUAUAAACCUUUUCACCUAAAACAUAAGGUUUAACUAUAAAAGUACGGCCCCUAAUUAAAUUAAUAAGAAUAUAAAUAUAUUUAAGAUGGGAUAAUCUAUAUUAAUAAAAAUUUAUCUUAAAAUAUAUAUAUUAUUAAUAAUUAUAUUAAUAAUAUAUAUAAUUAUAUUAUAUAUUUUUUUUUUUAUAUAAUAUAAACUAAUAAAGAUCAGGAAAUAAUUAAUGUAUACCGUAAUGUAGACCGACUCAGGUAUGUAAGUAGAGAAUAUGAAGGUGAAUUAGAUAAUUAAAGGGAAGGAACUCGGCAAAGAUAGCUCAUAAGUUAGUCAAUAAAGAGUAAUAAGAACAAAGUUGUACAACUGUUUACUAAAAACACCGCACUUUGCAGAAACGAUAAGUUUAAGUAUAAGGUGUGAACUCUGCUCCAUGCUUAAUAUAUAAAUAAAAUUAUUUAACGAUAAUUUUAUUAAAUUUAGGUAAAUAGCAGCCUUAUUAUGAGGGUUAUAAUGUAGCGAAAUUCCUUGGCCUAUAAUUGAGGUCCCGCAUGAAUGACGUAAUGAUACAACAACUGUCUCCCCUUUAAGCUAAGUGAAAUUGAAAUCGUAGUGAAGAUGCUAUGUACCUUCAGCAAGACGGAAAGACCCUAUGCAGCUUUACUGUAAUUAGAUAGAUCGAAUUAUUGUUUAUUAUAUUCAGCAUAUUAAGUAAUCCUAUUAUUAGGUAAUCGUUUAGAUAUUAAUGAGAUACUUAUUAUAAUAUAAUGAUAAUUCUAAUCUUAUAAAUAAUUAUUAUUAUUAUUAUUAAUAAUAAUAAUAUGCUUUCAAGCAUAGUGAUAAAACAUAUUUAUAUGAUAAUCACUUUACUUAAUAGAUAUAAUUCUUAAGUAAUAUAUAAUAUAUAUUUUAUAUAUAUUAUAUAUAAUAUAAGAGACAAUCUCUAAUUGGUAGUUUUGAUGGGGCGUCAUUAUCAGCAAAAGUAUCUGAAUAAGUCCAUAAAUAAAUAUAUAAAAUUAUUGAAUAAAAAAAAUAAUAUAUAUUAUAUAUAUUAAUUAUAAAUUGAAAUAUGUUUAUAUAAAUUUAUAUUUAUUGAAUAUAUUUUAGUAAUAGAUAAAAAUAUGUACAGUAAAAUUGUAAGGAAAACAAUAAUAACUUUCUCCUCUCUCGGUGGGGGUUUACACCUAUUUUUAAUAGGUGUUCACCCCUCUUCGGGGUUCCGGUUCCCUUUCGGGUCCCGGAACUUAAAUAAAAAUAAUUAUGGAAAGAAUUAAAUUAAUAUAAUGGUAUAACUGUGCGAUAAUUGUAACACAAACGAGUGAAACAAGUACGUAAGUAUGGCAUAAUGAACAAAUAACACUGAUUGUAAAGGUUAUUGAUAACGAAUAAAAGUUACGCUAGGGAUAACAGGGUAAUAUAACGAAAGAGUAGAUAUUGUAAGUUAUGUUUGCCACCUCGAUGUCGACUCAACAUUUCCUCUUGGUUGUAAAAGCUAAGAAGGGUUUGACUGUUCGUCAAUUAAAAUGUUACGUGAGUUGGGUUAAAUACGAUGUGAAUCAGUAUGGUUCCUAUCUGCUGAAGGAAAUAUUAUCAAAUUAAAUCUCAUUAUUAGUACGCAAGGACCAUAAUGAAUCAACCCAUGGUGUAUCUAUUGAUAAUAAUAUAAUAUAUUUAAUAAAAAUAAUACUUUAUUAAUAUAUUAUCUAUAUUAGUUUAUAUUUUAAUUAUAUAUUAUCAUAGUAGAUAAGCUAAGUUGAUAAUAAAUAAAUAUUGAAUACAUAUUAAAUAUGAAGUUGUUUUAAUAAGAUAAUUAAUCUGAUAAUUUUAUACUAAAAUUAAUAAUUAUAGGUUUUAUAUAUUAUUUAUAAAUAAAUAUAUUAUAAUAAUAAUAAUUAUUAUUAUUAAUAAAAAAUAU